AUUGAACGCUGGCGGCAGGCCUAACACAUGCAAGUCGAACGAGUGGCGGACGGGUGAGUAAUGUCUGGGAAACUGCCUGAUGGAGGGGGAUAACUACUGGAAACGGUAGCUAAUACCGCAUACCAUCGGAUGUGCCUCGAUGGGAUUAGCUAGUAGGUGGGGUAACGGCUCACAUAGGCGACGCUCCCUAGCUGGUCUGAGAGGAUGGCCAGCCACACUGGAACUGAGAACAGGUCCAGACUCCUACGGAAGGCAGCAGUGGGGAAUAUUUCACAAUGGGCGCAAGCCUGAUGCAGCCAUGCCGCGUGUAUGAAGAAGGCCUUGGGGUUGUAAAGUACUGUCAGCGGGGAGGCGUUACCCGCAGAAGAAGCACCGGCUAACUCCGUGCCAGCCGCCGCGGUAAUAC
rnacentral:rRNA from 1 species